AGUUUGAUCCUGGCUCAGGACGAACGCUGGCGGCGCGCCUAACACAUGCAAGUCGAACGGAGCUGAGAGAAGCUUGCUUUUCUUAGCUUAGUGGCGAACGGGUGAGUAACGCGUGAGUAACCUGCCCUGGAGUGGGGGACAACAGUUGGAAACGACUGCUAAUACCGCAUAAGCCCACGGUGCUGCAUGGCACUGCGGGAAAAGGAUUUAUUCGCUCUAGGAUGGACUCGCGUCCAAUUAGCUAGUUGGUGAGGUAACGGCCCACCAAGGCGACGAUUGGUAGCCGGACUGAGAGGUUGAACGGCCACAUUGGGACUGAGACACGGCCCAGACUCCUACGGGAGGCAGCAGUGGGGGAUAUUGCACAAUGGGGGAAACCCUGAUGCAGCGACGCCGCGUGGAGGAAGAAGGUUUUCGGAUUGUAAACUCCUGUCGUUAGGGACGAUAAUGACGGUACCUAACAAGAAAGCACCGGCUAACUACGUGCCAGCAGCCGCGGUAAAACGUAGGGGUGCAAGCGUUGUCCGGAAUUACUGGGUGUAAAGGGAGCGCAGGCGGACCGGCAAGUUGGAAGUGAAAUCCAUGGGCUCAACCCGUGAAUUGCUUUCAAAACUGCUGGCCUUGAGUAGUGCAGAGGUAGGUGGAAUUCCCGGUGUAGCGGUGGAAUGCGUAGAUAUCGGGAGGAACACCAGUGGCGAAGGCGACCUACUGGGCACCAACUGACGCUGAGGCUCGAAAGCAUGGGUAGCAAACAGGAUUAGAUACCCUGGUAGUCCAUGCCGUAAACGAUGAUUACUAGGUGUUGGAGGAUUGACCCCUUCAGUGCCGCAGUUAACACAAUAAGUAAUCCACCUGGGGAGUACGACCGCAAGGUUGAAACUCAAAGGAAUUGACGGGGGCCCGCACAAGCAGUGGAGUAUGUGGUUUAAUUCGAAGCAACGCGAAGAACCUUACCAGGUCUUGACAUCCGAUGCAUAGUGCAGAGAUGCAUGAAGUCCUUCGGGACAUCGAGACAGGUGGUGCAUGGUUGUCGUCAGCUCGUGUCGUGAGAUGUUGGGUUAAGUCCCGCAACGAGCGCAACCCUUAUUGCCAGUUACUACGAAAGAGGACUCUGGCGAGACUGCCGUUGACAAAACGGAGGAAGGUGGGGAUGACGUCAAAUCAUCAUGCCCUUUAUGACCUGGGCUACACACGUACUACAAUGGCGUUUAACAAAGAGAAGCAAGACCGCGAGGUGGAGCAAAACUCAGAAACAACGUCUCAGUUCAGAUUGCAGGCUGCAACUCGCCUGCAUGAAGUCGGAAUUGCUAGUAAUCGCGGAUCAGCAUGCCGCGGUGAAUACGUUCCCGGGCCUUGUACACACCGCCCGUC
rnacentral:rRNA from 1 species